GGUGGUGUCGCUAGAGGGAGGGUCACACCCAGCUCCAUCCCGAACCUGGAAGUUAAGCCUCCCAUCGCCGAUGAUACUGCCGGCUACGCUGGUGGGAACGUAGGUCGAUGCCGCCU
rnacentral:rRNA from 1 species